rnacentral:rRNA from 1 species
AUUAACGCUGGCGGUGUGCCUAACGUAUGCAAGUCGUGCGACCCUUCGGGGUAGCGGCGAACGGGUGAGUAAUAUGCAGGAACUUAACUCAAUCUGGGGUAUACCCUUUCGAAAGGAAGGCUAAUCCCCCAUAGUCUCGCAAGAGUAAAGCUUCGGCGGAUUGAGAGAGGCCUGCAUCCUAUCAGCUUGUUGGCGGGGUAAAUGCCCACCAAGGCUAUGACGGGUAGGGGCUCUGAGAGGAGAGACCCCCACAAUGGGACUGAGAUACGGCCCAUACUCCUACGGGAGGCAGCAACUGGGAAUAUUGCGCAAUGGACGAAAGUCUGACGCAGCGACACCGCGUGAACGAAGACGGCCUUCGGGUUGUAAAGUUCGCAAAUUAGGGAGGAAAUCUUGACUUAACCUAAUCUAAGCCUUGACUAACUACGU